UUCCAGACUCCUACGGGAGGCAGCAGUGGGGAAUAUUGCACAAUGGGGGAAACCCUGAUGCAGCGACGCCGCGUGAGUGAAGAGGUAAUUCGUUACGUAAAGCUCUAUCAGCAGGGAAGAGAAUGACGGUACCUGAGUAAGAAGCCCCGGCUAACUACGUGCCAGCAGCCGCGGUAAUACGUAGGGGGCAAGCGUUAUCCGGAUUUACUGGGUGUAAAGGGAGCGUAGACGGUGAGACAAGUCUGAAGUGAAAGCCCGGGGCUCAACCCCGGGACUGCUUUGGAAACUGCCUGACUGGAGUGCUGGAGAGGCAAGCGGAAUUCCUAGUGUAGCGGUGAAAUGCGUAGAUAUUAGGAAGAACACCAGUGGCGAAGGCGGCUUGCUGGACAGUAACUGACGUUGAGGCUCGAAAGCGUGGGGAGCAAACAGGAUUAGAUACCCGCGUAGA
rnacentral:rRNA from 1 species